UUACGUUGAAUUGUUCCUUUAUUGGCGCUUUUUUAGUAAAUUUAUCUAUAAAAUUGAGAAAGAAAUUAUUUUAUUUACCUUUUGUAUCAGGGUUAAUUAAAAGUAAUAUUUAAUUUAAAUCUCUCGAGUCAGGCAUGAUCUAAGUAGUUUAUUUUUGUUAAAAUAUGAUUAUUUAUUAUAUUAGUAAUGAUAUGUUUUCGUAUGUUGUGAUAUCUAGUUGUCUAAUUAAAUUUUUAUAAAUAUUGGUUAUAAACUAAUAGGAUAGAAGAGCUAAUUUUUUUAUUUAUAUUAGGAGGGCUUAUUUAAAUAGUUAGUUAGGCCUAAUAUUAGCCAUAUUUAUAUAUUUUUAUAAAUAGUCUUUUAUUUAUAAUAAUAGUCUAGUUAUGUUUAGGUUUAUAAAAAAGGUGUAAAAUUUUGUUUAAUAAUGAUUAAAUUAGUACUUAAGGGUUGUUAAAGAUCUAACUCGAUAAUUGUAUGAAUGUUUAACAAAAACAUUUCUUUUAGUUUAUCUAAGGUAAGGCCUGCCCAGUGAAUUUUUAACGGCUGCGGUAUUUUAACUGUACUAAGGUAGCAUAAUAAUUUGUUUUUUAAUUGAAAACUGGGAUGAACGGUUUUACAUAUGAUUUAUUUGAUCUUUUUAUGGUAGUAAUUUAUAUUUUGAAUAAAAAUAUUUAAAUUAAAUAAAGGGACGAUAAGACCCUAAAAGCUUUUUUAUUUGGAUAACACUAAUUUUGAUUUUUAAGGGUAAAUUUAGUUGGGGUAACGUAAGUAUAAGUUUUAUUUUUAAUUGUAGCGUAGAUAAACGGUCUGUAGAUCUUUUAUAUAAAGAUAGUUAGAGGUAGUUACUUUAGGGAUAACAGCGUA
rnacentral:rRNA from 1 species